rfam:Candidatus Omnitrophica bacterium CG1_02_41_171 cg1_0.2_scaffold_6554_c, whole genome shotgun sequence.
AUAAUUGAGAGUUUGAUCCUGGCUCAGAACGAACACUGGCGGCGUGCCUAACACAUGCAAGUCGAACGACGAACUGCGUAUUUUUGUCGCAAGAUAAAAAAAUGCAGGGAAAGUGGCAAAUGGGUGAGUAAUAUCUGGGUAAUUUACCCUUUAGAGGAGCACAAUCUGCUGAAAGGCGGAAUAAUUCUCCGUAAGACCCCGAAGACGCAUGUCUUUGCGGUAAAAGACAACCUUAAAAAUUGUCGCUAAAGGAGAAACCGAGAUUCCAUUAGCUAGUUGGUAAGGUAAUGGCUUACCAAGGCAAUGAUGGAUAGCUGGUCUGAGAGGAUGAUCAGCCACAUUGGGAUUGAGAGACAGCCCAGACUCCUACGGGAGGCAGCAGUGGGGAAUUUUGGACAAUGAGCGAAAGCCUGAUCCAGCGACGCCGCGUGGGUGAUGAAGGUCUUCGGAUUGUAAAACCCUGUCGAGUGGGAUGAAGUCCAACACAUUUUUAUGCGUUGGAUUGACAUUACCACCAGAGGAAGUCCCGGCUAACCCCGUGCCAGCAGCCGCGGUAAGACGGGGGGGGCAAGUGUUGUUCGGAAUGACUGGGUGUAAAGGGCAUGUAGAUGGUUGGGUAAGUCAGAUAUGAAAUCCCUUGGCUCAACUAAGGAAUUGUAUCUGAAACUAUUCGACUAGAGUUUGGGAGGGGAGAGCGGAACUCCCGGUGUAGCGGUGGAAUGCGUAGAUAUCGGGAGGAACACCAGUGGCGAAGGCGGCUCUCUAGUCCAAAACUGACAUCAAAAUGCGAAGGCUAGGGGAGCAAACAGGAUUAGAUACCCUGGUAGUCCUAGCAGUAAACGAUGGGUAUUAGACAUUGGCCCGUAAGGGUUAGUGUCGUAGCUAACGCGUUAAAUACCUCACCUGGGGAGUACGGUCGCAAGGCUGAAACUCAAAGGAAUUGACGGGGGCCCGCACAAGCGGUGGAGUAUGUGGUUUAAUUCGACGAUACGCGAAGAACCUUACCGGGGUUUGACAUCCCAGGAAUCUGUCCGAAAGGAUGGAGUGCUCGUAAGAGAACCUGGAGACAGGUGGUGCAUGGCUGUCGUCAGCUCGUGUUGUGAAAUGUAUGGUUAAGUCCCGCAACGAGCGCAACCCUUAUCCUUAGUUACCUCCGUAAGGAGGAUUCUCUAGGGAGACUGCCUCGAAUAACGGGGAGGAAGGCGGGGAUGACGUCAAGUCCUCAUGCCCCUUAUAUCCCGGGCUACACACGUACUACAAUGGUCUGUACAAUGGGAAGCAAGACCGCAAGGUGGAGCAAAUCUCAAAAAGCAGACCCCAGUUCAGAUUGAGGGCUGCAACUCGCCCUCAUGAAGGUGGAAUCGCUAGUAACCGCAGAUCAGCUAUGCUGCAGUGAAUACGUUCCCGGGCCUUGUACACACCGCCCGUCACGUCAGCUGAAUCGAAUGUACUCGAAGUCACUAUUUUCCUUUUCGGAGAGCAAUCUUUGGAAAGGGGAGAGGUGCCGAAGGUAUGUUUGGUAAGGAGGACGAAGUCGUAACAAGGCAGCCGUACCGGAAGGUGCGGCUGGAUCACCUCCUUU